rnacentral:tRNA from 1 species
GCCGGGGUGGCUUAGCUGGAGGAGCGCCGGACUCAUAAGAAUGGAAUGUUCUGAGAAAUCCGGAGGUCUCGGGUUCGAACCCCGAUCCCGGCA